UUUAAGUGCAACCAUGAGUUUUCUAUUCAACUUUGAUCGUCCGUCUUAUUUGAUUUUUUUUUAUGAUUAGUAUUAUUAUUAUUAUUAUUAUUAUUAUAUGAUAAAAUAGUACUUUAUGCUUGACUUAUAUUUUUUAUUUUUUAAAAAAAAAUUCAAACAAAACAGACGAUUAAAUUUGGGUACGGAAAAUCAUAGCUCACUUAUA
rfam:Oryza rufipogon genomic scaffold, chr06